rnacentral:rRNA from 1 species
CCUUGUACACACCGCCCGUCACGCCAUGGGAGUUGGCUUUACCCGAAGACGGUGCGCUAACCGCAAGGAGGCAGCCGGCCACGGUAAGGUCAGCGACUGGGGUG